UACGGGGGGGCAAGCGUUGUUCGGAAUUACUGGGCGUAAAGGGCUCGUAGGCGGCCAACUAAGUCAGACGUGAAAUCCCUCGGCUUAACCGGGGAACUGCGUCUGAUACUGGAUGGCUUGAGGUUGGGAGAGGGAUGCGGAAUUCCAGGUGUAGCGGUGAAAUGCGUAGAUAUCUGGAGGAACACCGGUGGCGAAGGCGGCGAUCCUGGACCAAUUCUGACGCUGAGGAGCGAAAGCCAGGGGAGCAAACGGG
rnacentral:rRNA from 1 species